rnacentral:rRNA from 1 species
AUUGAACGCUGGCGGCAGGCCUAACACAUGCAAGUCGAGCGGAGCGGCGGACGGGUGAGUAAUGCCUAGGAAUCUGCCUGGUAGUGGGGGAUAACGUCCGGAACCGGGAGCUAAUACCGCAUACUAUCAGAUGAGCCUAGGUCGGAUUGGCUAGUGGGGGGGGUAAAGGCUUACCAAGGCGACGAUCCGUAACUGGUCUGAGAGGAUGAUCAGCCACACUGGAACUGAGACACGGUCCAGACUCCUACGGGAGGCAGCAGUGGGGAAUAUUGGACAAUGGGCGAAAGCCUGAUGCAGCCAUGCCGCGUGUAUGAAGAAGGCCUUAGGGUUGUAAAGUACUUUCAGCGGGGAGGCGGUACCCGCAGAAGAAGCACCGGCUAACUCCGUGCCAGCAGCCGCGGUAAUAC